rnacentral:lncRNA from 1 species
GUUUUCCGGGUUCUUUUGGUUUUUCGGGUGCUUUAGGCUUUUCGGGUUCUUUUGGUUUUUCUGGUACUUUAGGCUUCUCUGGUUCUUUGGGUUUUUCAGGUUCUUUGGGCUUUUUGGGUUCUUUAGGCUUCUCAGGCUCAUUGGGUUUGGGAGGAGGAGGUGGAGGUUUGAUCUCAAUGCUCUUGAUUGAUCCAGCACCCUUGCAACAUAUCUUGUCCCUCAGCUUCUCAGGAUUGCAGCAUACCACAGUAAUGGUCACGGUGUUGGCUUUCUCAUCGUAUAUCUGGUCUCG